rnacentral:rRNA from 1 species
CACACGUACCCAUCCCGAACACGACCGUUAAGCCCUCCAGCGCCGAUGGUACUUGGACCGCAGGGUCCUGGGAGAGUAGGACGUCGCCAAGC